rnacentral:rRNA from 1 species
UAGGGAAUCUUGGGCAAUGGGGGCAACCCUGACCGAGCAACGCCGCGUGAGUGAAGAAGGUUUUCGGAUCGUAAAGCUCUGUUGUAAGAGAAGAACGUGUGUGAGAGUGGAAAGUUCACACAGUGACGGUAACUUACCAGAAAGGGACGGCUAACUACGUGCCAGCAGCCGCGGUAAUACGUAGGUCCCGAGCGUUGUCCGGAUUUAUUGGGCGUAAAGCGAGCGCAGGCGGUUUAAUAAGUAUGAAGUUAAGGGCAGUGGCUUAACCAGUGUUCGCUUUGGUAACUGUUAAACUUGAGUGCAGAAGGGGAGAGUGGAAUUCCAGGUGUAGCGGUGAAAUGCGUAGAUAUAUGGAGGAACACCGGUGGCGAAAGCGGCUCUCUGGUCUGUAACUGACGCUGAGGCUCGAAAGCGUGGGGAGCAAACAGG